ensembl:lncRNA
AACUCAAGAGAAAACAAGGUCCCACUCAUCGCAAGUUUAAAUGUAGACAGAGCAGAACGAGUCAAAGCUAAAGGACUUUUAUAAAGAAAACAUCUAGUUUUCUUUUAAUGCGACCAGCAGCAAACUGCUGAACCGUAUUGAUACUGGUGUUCAAAACUAUUCAAAACGUUCAGAUCUAGUUCUGAAGCAGGAAAUAAUUACAUCCAACGCACUUCUGGGGAACUAAAAGUGAAUAUGAAUCAAGCAAACAAAACGAAAGCACUUGUUGACUAACCGGUUUCCUGCGCGACACGCGCGUCCCGGGUUUCCGAGGAGUCCGUGAAGGCAUCGUUCUACCGCCGGGCUGCGUGCGCUGAGCUGGAGGGGCAGAACCUCGGCGGGCACGCAUAUAUGCGAUGCCACCGCCUGCUGCUUGCGUGCAGUUGUGGAUGCUUGACUGGAUGCGAGCGGGACUGGGAGGCACGCGUCCACUAGUUAGACAUGUGACUGAGCGCAGGGCUCCUGCUCAAUAAACUCACUGCGGCUUAUAUGUUGGAGUGUGACCAAAACUUUUCGUCUAUGUCUAAUUAAGGUCUGACAGCCCAGAGCAGCAGCCCAGCACCGGAGUCUUGGGCCGUAUUGGGAGCUGGUUCUCUCCAUGGAAGGGAAACGCUCCGAAGAGUCCGACUGACAAUGCCUCCGCGACUAGUGAGCGGCCUCUAAAUUCAGAUGGGGGAGACGAGAGUGAGGAGUCUGUAAAAGUCCGGGCUGGGGACCCGCACCGCGGGGAGGCGAAGGAACAGAGCUCUAGCCCGAGUCCGCUGGCUUUUGCCAGAGACAUUUUCCCCUGUGAAGAGCAGGACGCCACGCAGUCUAGCCACAAGCGCAGCUCUGUUGUGAGCAGCACAGAGGCAGAGCCAGGAGGUCCAAAAGAGGAGGAGUCGGUGGCCUGCGCGAGGAGGAGAAUAGGGCAAAACCAGGAGUGGGAGGAGAGCAGCAACGGUCCUUCAGCGAGCGGGAAUCCUGAGAAGAAUGCCAGUCAUCUGACACAUCUGCCUUCCUUGUCUAAACAGGGAGUGGCACAGGACUCUGACCAAGCACACGCCCAGGCUCAGGCUCAGACAGGCAGGAGGCUCCAUGUGUACCUUGAGGAGACCUGCGUGACUCACGGCGGUCCAGACACCUGUGCCGGGCAGGAAGUCGUCCGAACCGAAGUCACAAAGAACUUAAAAGCACUCACCAAAGCCAACUUGUCUCCGGGUUUUGAUUUGCAAACGAGUUCCGGCUCAACAUGUGCCGAGAACAAAAGGGCCGAUGUUAGCCACGCUGGCGGGGCACAGAGCUAUUACAGUGCGCUAACAGGAGUGUCGCUGAAAUCACAAAGAGACUCACAGUUAGACCCUGACGCUGAUACAGAGGAAGGAACAGGAGGAGACAGCAUGGGGCGCAGGAACUCAUCCAGGAGGAGACACAGAAAGGGCUCCCAAGGAGAUGGAGGGAACAGUCCUCGUGAGAAAACGCCUCCCAAUGCUCAACCUGGCGCAGAGGGAUUCCCCCCGGUGGCCAGCCCUCAGAGCAAGAGUCCAGAGGCUCACAUGGGGAAAUCACCCUUAAGCCCCGCCUCCCAGCAAGAGCCCGCCUCUCCGGCCUCACCUGAAGGAGUGGAAAGUGAGACUUCCUGUCCCGAUGCGUUCGAGCAGUUGGACAAGUUCCAGGCUGAAGUGGCUGCAGAGACUCAGGCGCGCGUGGUUCAUGGGGGCGCAGACAUGGAGGACAACGACAGGUUUUACAAGGUGGAAAGGAAGACGGAGACGCCAGAGUCCAAGCGCAGGAGUAUUAAGGUUUCCCGAAGCGAGGUGAAGCUUUUUACCAAAAAUGUGCCUUUGAAUUCUAAAAAAAGUCCGGUGGACAGGACACAGAAUUCGACGGCAGGAGGGAAUACCAGCAAUAAAGGAAAAGAUAGUGGGGAAACAGAUGCAAGGUGAGUGACCAGAACAUCCCACCUAAAGACCUUACUGGUCCCACAGUGCUGUAAAAUCAGAAAUGUGACUGCUGUAGGUGGAACAGGUUAGUGAAGCAGUGCUGUGAGUCACAACACAAAGUCCAACAGCAUGAUUCACAGGUUAGAACUGCAGGUCAGAUUAAAAUGUGGGUCAGAUACUGUAAAGACAACCCAGAGGCUUAAUUAACAGUCUGCUAUACUAUACAGUAUAGGUUGUCAUUUAGAGCAUCUUUUAAAUGAAAUAAUACUUUAAUCUCUUGUUGUACUCAGACUUCCUGCCCUGAAGAAGGUCGACGAGGAGCUUAAACCUAAACCGGCUGCUGGACGGAUCGCAGAUAAAAUCAGCCUCUUCGAGAAAAAGCAGGCAGCGGGAGGCCACAAGCCCAUCGUCCAGAGCCCCACAGUCACAGAGACCACGAAUGUGGGUUCAGACCAGGGGUCGAGAUCGGCAGAAGGUCACAGCACAGUCGGGCCCAGUUCUGCAUCGCCGGUGAGGGAGAAACUGGUGUCAGUCAAGGAGAACUUUACAGAAUCUCCCUCAG